rnacentral:ncRNA from 1 species
AAACUACUGCCACCGGGUAGAGAAUGUAAUACUGAACAUUCGCGGGCAUAUCGUUAGGUCUUUGAAGAUAUGCCGCGGAUGUUUUUUGUUU